CGGGAACGCAGAGGUCCUUUAAGGUUCUAGAAUGAACAGCUGGAGCCUGCCGAGCUGGGAGCAGCAGCCGCAGCAGGGCGGCCGGGAGCGGCGGGCCCGCAGGCAGCCGAGGUGAGCAGACCUUGCUGUCCAUCUCUGGAAAGGGCUGGGAACGGAGCACGUAUUGUCACUCUCUGGGCAAAAGCUGGACCACACGGCAUCAAAGGAGGACGUACGUGCUGCAUCCUAGCCAGCAGCUAUGGCGUUCAGACAAAAGCUUCAGAGUGAAGACGAUUCCAGGGAGAUGGACAGCUCAAGCAAAUGAAGGGGAGAAAGAGUUCUCAUCCAGGUAGUCUCUAGCCAGCCCUGCAUCACAUGUCCAAGUACAGACAUGAAAGGGAAAGGAAAUGAGAAGAGGCAAGGAGCUCAUCAGGCCAUAUGUCUUCAUCAAAGAGAUGACUAGAAUAUUGAAGCUAACACCUCUGGAACAGCCAGCUCUGCCUGCACAUCAAGCUGCCAGAAGAAACUGUUCUGAAGUUGCAAACACUGUUUAAUCCUGUACAGUUCCGAUGGGUAGGCCUCUCUUCAAACAAGGUUUUCAGUAGCAGCUGGGUAGGCAGAAAGAAAUGAGAAACAUUGCAAGAGAAGGAGGAAGACAGUCAUUUCAUAUCACACAGUACAGCUUCUCAGUCAUUAAUAAGCAGCAGCACACAGUGUGAGGUGAAAGAG